AACUUUCGGCAACGGAUCUCUUGGCUCUCGCAUCGAUGAAGAACGCAGCGAAAUGCGAUAAGUAAUGUUAAUUGCAGAAUUCAGUGAAUCAUCGAAUCUUUGAACGCACCUUGCACCCUUUGGCAUUCCGAAGGGUAUGCUCGUUUGAGUGUCAUUGUACUCUCAUGCUCCCGAUGCUUUUGGAUCGGGAGUGGUGGACUUGGGUGUUGCUGCUUUACUGUGGCUCACCUCAAAUGGAGUAGUGCAACUCUUGGUUGGACAUAGUACGGCGUGAUAAGUGUCUUCGCCGGCGCCUCAUUAGAGGGUGGCCGAUCGGGAGCUCUGUGCUUCAAACCGUCUUCGGACAACAUCUGACAACUUGACCUCAAAUCGAGUAGGACUACCCGCUGAACUUAAGCAUAUUAAUAAGCGGAGGCU
rnacentral:misc_RNA from 1 species